GACGAACGCGGCGGCGUGCUUAACACAUGCAAGUCGAACGGGAACCUUUAUUUCGGUAAAGGUGAGAGUGGCAAACGGGUGAGUAACACGUAGGCAACCUGCCGACAGGAUGGGGACAACAUUCCGAAAGGAAUGCUAAUACCGAAUGGAGUCCGAGGAUGGCAUCAUCCUUGGAUAAAAGAUGGCCUCUGAAUAUGCUAUCGCCUGUCGAUGGGCCUGCGUCUGAUUAGCCAGUUGGCGGGGUAACGGCCCACCAAAGCGACGAUCAGUAGCCGGUCUGAGAGGAUGAACGGCCACAUUGGGACUGAGACACGGCCCAGACUCCUACGGGAGGCAGCAGUGGGGAAUCUUCCACAAUGGGCGAAAGCCUGAUGGAGCAACGCCGCGUGAGUGAAGAAGGUCUUCGGAUCGUAAAGCUCUGUUGCACGGGACGAAAACUGGGUUUGAAAACAUUGAGCCUGGGGACGUACCGAGCG
rnacentral:rRNA from 1 species